rnacentral:rRNA from 1 species
AGCAGCCGCGGUAAUUCCAGCUCCAAUAGCGUAUAUUAAAGUUGUUGCAGUUAAAAAGCUCGUAGUUGAAUUUCGGGGUUAGUAGGCUGGUCGUGCCACUGGUACGUACUGGUCUCACUGAUUCCUCCUUCCUGAUGAACCGUAAUGCCAUUAAUUUGGUGUUGCGGGGAAACUGGACUGUUACUUUGAAAAAAUUAGAGUGUUUAAAGCAAGCUAACGCUUGAAUACAUUAGCAUGGAAUAAUGAAAUAGGACGUUCGAUCCUAUUUUGUUGGUUUCUAGGAUUGACGUAAUGAUUAAUAGGGAUAGUUGGGGGCAUUAGUAUUCAAUUGUCAGAGGUGAAAUUCUUGGAUUUAUUGAAGACUAACUACUGCGAAAGCAUUUGCCAAGGAUGUUUUCAUUAAUCAAGAACGAAAGUUAGGGGAUCGAAGACGAUCAGAUACCGUCGUAG